rnacentral:rRNA from 1 species
GGGUUGUGAGGUUAAGCGACUAAGCGUACACGGUGGAUGCCCUGGCAGUCAGAGGCGAUGAAGGACGUGCUAAUCUGCGAAAAGCGUCGGUAAGGUGAUAUGAACCGUUAUAACCGGCGAUGUCCGAAUGGGGAAACCCAGUGUGAUUCGUCACACUAUCGUUAACUGAAUACAUAGGUUAACGAGGCGAACCGGGGGAACUGAAACAUCUAAGUACCCCGAGGAAAAGAAAUCAACCGAGAUUCCCCCAGUAGCGGCGAGCGAACGGGGAGCAGCCCAGAGUCUGAAUCAGCUUGUGUGUUAGUGGAACGGUCUGGAAAGUCCGACGGUACAGGGUGAUAGUCCCGUACACCAAAAUGCACAGGCUGUGAACUCGAAGAGUAGGGCGGGACACGUGGUAUCCUGUCUGAAUAUGGGGGGACCAUCCUCCAAGGCUAAAUACUCCUGACUGACCGAUAGUGAACCAGUACCGUGAGGGAAAGGCGAAAAGAACCCCGGCGAGGGGAGUGAAAAAGAACCUGAAACCGUGUACGUACAAGCAGUGGGAGCACCUUCGGGUGUGACUGCGUACCUUUUGUAUAAUGGGUCAGCGACUUAUAUUCUGUAGCAAGGUUAACCGUAUAGGGGAGCCGCAGGGAAACCGAGUCUUAACUGGGCGUUAAGUUGCAGGGUAUAGACCCGAAACCCGGUGAUCUAGCCAUGGGCAGGUUGAAGGUUGGGUAACACUAACUGGAGGACCGAACCGACUAAUGUUGAAAAAUUAGCGGAUGACUUGUGGCUGGGGGUGAAAGGCCAAUCAAACCGGGAGAUAGCUGGUUCUCCCCGAAAGCUAUUUAGGUAGCGCCUCGUGAAUUCAUCUUCGGGGGUAGAGCACUGUUUCGGCUAGGGGGUCAUCCCGACUUACCAACCCGAUGCAAACUACGAAUACCGAAGAAUGUUAUCACGGGAGACACACGGCGGGUGCUAACGUCCGUCGUGAAGAGGGAAACAACCCAGACCGCCAGCUAAGGUCCCAAAGUCAUGGUUAAGUGGGAAACGAUGUGGGAAGGCACAGACAGCCAGGAUGUUGGCUUAGAAGCAGCCAUCAUUUAAAGAAAGCGUAAUAGCUCACUGGUCGAGUCGGCCUGCGCGGAAGAUGUAACGGGGCUAAACCAUGCACCGAAGCUGCGGCAGCGACACUAUGUGUUGUUGGGUAGGGGAGCGUUCUGUAAGCCUGCGAAGGUGUGCUGUGAGGCAUGCUGGAGGUAUCAGAAGUGCGAAUGCUGACAUAAGUAACGAUAAAGCGGGUGAAAAGCCCGCUCGCCGGAAGACCAAGGGUUCCUGUCCAACGUUAAUCGGGGCAGGGUGAGUCGACCCCUAAGGCGAGGCCGAAAGGCGUAGUCGAUGGGAAACAGGUUAAUAUUCCUGUACUUGGUGUUACUGCGAAGGGGGGACGGAGAAGGCUAUGUUAGCCGGGCGACGGUUGUCCCGGUUUAAGCAUGUAGGCUGGUUGUCCAGGCAAAUCCGGAUAAUCAAGGCUGAGGUGUGAUGACGAGGCACUACGGUGCUGAAGUAACAAAUGCCCUGCUUCCAGGAAAAGCCUCUAAGCAUCAGGUAACAUCAAAUCGUACCCCAAACCGACACAGGUGGUCAGGUAGAGAAUACCAAGGCGCUUGAGAGAACUCGGGUGAAGGAACUAGGCAAAAUGGUGCCGUAACUUCGGGAGAAGGCACGCUGGUGUGUAGGUGAAGCCCCUGCGGGUGGAGCUGAGACCAGUCGAAGAUACCAGCUGGCUGCAACUGUUUAUUAAAAACACAGCACUGUGCAAACACGAAAGUGGACGUAUACGGUGUGACGCCUGCCCGGUGCCGGAAGGUUAAUUGAUGGGGUUAUCCGUAAGGAGAAGCUCUUGAUCGAAGCCCCGGUAAACGGCGGCCGUAACUAUAACGGUCCUAAGGUAGCGAAAUUCCUUGUCGGGUAAGUUCCGACCUGCACGAAUGGCGUAAUGAUGGCCAGGCUGUCUCCACCCGAGACUCAGUGAAAUUGAACUCGCUGUGAAGAUGCAGUGUACCCGCGGCAAGACGGAAAGACCCCGUGAACCUUUACUAUAGCUUGACACUGAACAUUGAGCCUUGAUGUGUAGGAUAGGUGGGAGGCUUUGAAGCGUGGACGCCAGUCUGCGUGGAGCCAACCUUGAAAUACCACCCUUUAAUGUUUGAUGUUCUAACGUUGGCCCCUUAUCGGGGUUGCGGACAGUGUCUGGUGGGUAGUUUGACUGGGGCGGUCUCCUCCCAAAGCGUAACGGAGGAGCACGAAGGUUAGCUAAUCCUGGUCGGACAUCAGGAGGUUAGUGCAAUGGCAUAAGCUAGCUUGACUGCGAGCGUGACGGCGCGAGCAGGUGCGAAAGCAGGUCAUAGUGAUCCGGUGGUUCUGAAUGGAAGGGCCAUCGCUCAACGGAUAAAAGGUACUCCGGGGAUAACAGGCUGAUACCGCCCAAGAGUUCAUAUCGACGGCGGUGUUUGGCACCUCGAUGUCGGCUCAUCACAUCCUGGGGCUGAAGUAGGUCCCAAGGGUAUGGCUGUUCGCCAUUUAAAGUGGUACGCGAGCUGGGUUUAGAACGUCGUGAGACAGUUCGGUCCCUAUCUGCCGUGGGCGCUGGAGAAUUGAGGGGGGCUGCUCCUAGUACGAGAGGACCGGAGUGGACGCAUCACUGGUGUUCGGGUUGUCAUGCCAAUGGCACUGCCCGGUAGCUAAAUGCGGAAGAGAUAAGUGCUGAAAGCAUCUAAGCACGAAACUUGCCCCGAGAUGAGUUCUCCCUGAGACUUUAAGUCUCCUGAAGGAACGUUAAAGACGAUGACGUUGAUAGGCCGGGUGUGUAAGCGCAGCGAUGCGUUGAGCUAACCGGUACUAAUGAACCGUGAGGCUUAACCUUACAACGCCGAAG